UACGUAGGGUGCAAGCGUUGUCCGGAAUUAUUGGGCGUAAAGAGCUCGUAGGCGGUUUGUUGCGUCGGCUGUGAAAUCCCGAGGCUCAACCUCGGGUCUGCAGUCGAUACGAGCAAACUAGAGUGUUGCAGGGGAGACUGGAAUUCCUGGUGUAGCGGUGAAAUGCGCAGAUAUCAGGAGGAACACCGGUGGCGAAGGCGGGUCUCUGGGCAACAACUGACGCUGGAGGAAGCGAAAGCGUGGGAGCGAACAGGAUUAGAUACCGUACG
rnacentral:rRNA from 1 species